rnacentral:rRNA from 1 species
AGGGUUUGAUCCUGGCUCAGAACGUACGCUGGCGGCACGCCUAACACAUGCAAGUCGAACGAAGUAGCAAUACUUAGUGGCAGACGGGUGAGUAACAUGUAGGUAUCUGCCCUUUGGCCUGGAAUAACACGAGGAAACUUGUGCUAAUACUGGAUAAGUCUUUACGGAGAAAGCUUUAUGCACCAUUGGAUGAGCCUGCACUUGAUUAGUUUGUUGGUGGGGUAAUGGCCUACCAAGACUUUGAUCAAUAGCUGAUUUGAGAGGAUGAUCAGCCACAUUGGGACUGAGACACGGCCCAAACUCCUACGGGAGGCAGCAGUGGGGAAUCUUGCACAAUGGAGGAAACUCUGAUGCAGCGAUGCCGCGUGAGUGAAGAAGGCCUUUGGGUUGUAAAGCUCUUUCGUCGGGGAAGAAAAUGACUGUACCCGAAUAAGAAGGUCCGGCUAACUUCGUGCCAGCAGCCGCGGUAAUACGAAGGGACCUAGCGUAGUUCGGAAUUACUGGGCUUAAAGAGUUCGUAGGUGGUUGAAAAAGUUGGUGGUGAAAUCCCAGAGCUUAACUCUGGAACUGCCAUCAAAACUUUUCAGCUAGAGUUUGAUAGAGGAAAGCAGAAUUUCUAGUGUAGAGGUGAAAUUCGUAGAUAUUAGAAAGAAUACCGAUUGCGAAGGCAGCUUUCUGGAUCAAUACUGACACUGAGGAACGAAAGCAUGGGUAGCGAAGAGGAUUAGAUACCCUCGUAGUCCAUGCCGUAAACGAUGUGUGUUAGACGUUGGAAAUUUAUUUUCAGUGUCGCAGCGAAAGCGAUAAACACACCGCCUGGGGAGUACGACCGCAAGGUUAAAACUCAAAUGAAUUGACGGGGACCCGCACAAGUAGUGGAGCAUGUGGUUUAAUUCGAAGAUACGCGCAGAACCUUACCAACACUUGACAUGUUCGUCGCGACUUUAAGAGAUUAAAGUUUUCGGUUCGGCCGGACGAAACACAGGUGCUGCAUGGCUGUCGUCAGCUCGUGUCGUGAGAUGUUGGGUUAAGUCCCGCAACGAGCGCAACCCUCACUUUUAGUUGCCAUCAUUAAGUUGGGCACUCUGAAAGAACUGCCAGUGAUAAGCUGGAGGAAGGUGGGGAUGACGUCAAGUCCUCAUGGCCCUUACGUGUUGGGCUACACACGUGCUACAAUGGUAUCUACAACAGGAAGCAAGACGGCGACGUUAAGCAAAUCCUUAAAAGAUACCUCAGUUCGGAUUGUACUCUGCAACUCGAGUACAUGAAGCUGGAAUUACUAGUAAUCGUGGAUCAGCGUGCCACGGUGAAUGCGUUCCCGGGUCUUGUACACACCGCCCGUCACACCAUGGGAGUUGGUUCUACCUUAAGGCAAGGUUUAAAACCCUUGACCACGGUAUAGUCAGCGACUGGGGUGAAGUCAUAACAAGGUAACCGUA